UGUCUUACUGUCUUCGGCUUCUUUACAGUGCUGCCUUGUUGCAUAUGGAUCAAGCAGCAUUGUACAGGGCUAUGAAGGCAUUGAGUCU
ensembl:miRNA